rnacentral:rRNA from 1 species
GACGGCAGCACGAGAGAGCUUGCUCUCUUGGUGGCGAGUGGCGGACGGGUGAGUAAUAUAUCGGAACGUGCCCCGUACCGGGGGAUAACUACUCUAAAGAGUGGCUAAUACCGCAUACGCCCUACGGGGGAAAGGGGGGGAUUCUUCGGAACCUCUCACUAUUGGAGCGGCCGAUAUCGGAUUAGCUAGUUGGUGGGGUAAAGGCUCACCAAGGCAACGAUCCGUAGCUGGUUUGAGAGGACGACCAGCCACACUGAGACUGAGACACGGCCCAGACUCCUACGGGAGGCAGCAGUGGGGAAUUUUGGACAAUGGGGGAAACCCUGAUCCAGCCAUCCCGCGUGUAUGAUGAAGGCCUUCGGGUUGUAAAGUACUUUUGGCAGAGAAGAAAAGGUACCUCCUAAUACGAGGUACUGCUGACGGUAUCUGCAGAAUAAGCACCGGCUAACUACGUGCCAGCAGCCGCGGUAAUACGUAGGGUGCAAGCGUUAAUCGGAAUUACUGGGCGUAAAGCGUGUGUAGGCGGUUCGGAAAGAAAGAUGUGAAAUCCCAGGGCUCAACCUUGGAACUGCAUUUUUAACUGCCGAGCUAGAGUAUGUCAGAGGGGGGUAGAAUUCCACGUGUAGCAGUGAAAUGCGUAGAUAUGUGGAGGAAUACCGAUGGCGAAGGCAGCCCCCUGGGAUAAUACUGACGCUCAGACACGAAAGCGUGGGGAGCAAACAGGAUUAGAUACCCUGGUAGUCCACGCCCUAAACGAUGUCAACUAGCUGUUGGGGCCGUUAGGCCUUAGUAGCGCAGCUAACGCGUGAAGUUGACCGCCUGGGGAGUACGGUCGCAAGAUUAAAACUCAAAGGAAUUGACGGGGACCCGCACAAGCGGUGGAUGAUGUGGAUUAAUUCGAUGCAACGCGAAAAACCUUACCUACCCUUGACAUGUCUGGAAUGCCGAAGAGAUUUGGCAGUGCUCGCAAGAGAACCGGAACACAGGUGCUGCAUGGCUGUCGUCAGCUCGUGUCGUGAGAUGUUGGGUUAAGUCCCGCAACGAGCGCAACCCUUGUCAUUAGUUGCUACGCAAGAGCACUCUAAUGAGACUGCCGGUGACAAACCGGAGGAAGGUGGGGAUGACGUCAAGUCCUCAUGGCCCUUAUGGGUAGGGCUUCUCACGUCAUACAAUGGUCGGGACAGAGGGUCGCCAACCCGCGAGGGGGAGCCAAUCUCAGAAACCCGAUCGUAGUUCGGAUCGCAGUCUGCAACUCGACUGCGUGAAGUCGGAAUCGCUAGUAAUCGCGGAUCAGAAUGUCGCGGUGAAUACGUUCCCGGGUCUUGUACACACCGCCCGUCACACCAUGGGAGUGGGUUUCACCAGAAGUAGGUAGCCUAACCGCAAG